UACGUAGGUGGCAAGCGUUGUCCGGAAUUAUUGGGCGUAAAGCGCACGCAGGCGGUUGUGUAAGUCUGAUGUUAAAGCCCGGGGCUCAACCUCGGUUCGCAUUGGAAACUGUGUAACUUGAGUGCAGAAGAGGAAAGUGGUAUUCCACGUGUAGCGGUGAAAUGCGUAGAUAUGUGGAGGAACACCCGUGGCGAAGGCGACUUUCUGGUCUGUAACUGACGCUGAGGCGCGAAAGCGUGGGGAGCAAACAGG
rnacentral:rRNA from 1 species